rnacentral:rRNA from 1 species
UACGUAGGGGGCAAGCGUUGUUCGGAAUGACUGGGCGUAAAGGGUGCGUAGGCGGUGUAGCAAGUUAGAAGUGAAAUACCUAGAGCUUAACUCAGGUGCUGCUUCUAAAACUGCUAUACUUGAGUGCAGUAGAGGAAAGUGGAAUUCCUAGUGUAGCGGUGGAAUGCGUAGAUAUUAGGAGGAACAUCAGUGGCGAAGGCGACUUUCUGGACUGUAACUGACGCUGAGGCACGAAAGUGUGAGGAGCAAACAGG